rnacentral:misc_RNA from 1 species
UCUCCGUUGGUGGACCAGCGGAGGGAUCAUUACUGGAAUCGCAAGAUCCCACAACCCUGUGAACCUACCGAAACGUUGCCUCGGCGGGUGCCCGGCCUCUGCGCCGGGCGCUGCGCCCGCCGGCGGCCCCCUACUCUGUCUCUGCAGCGUGGCAUCUCAGAGUCCCAGAAAACAAGUCAAAACUUUCAACAACGGAUCUCUUGGCUCUA